rnacentral:rRNA from 1 species
UACGUAGGGUGCAAGCGUUAAUCGGAAUUACUGGGCGUAAAGCGUGCGCAGGCGGUUGUGCAAGACAGAUGUGAAAUCCCCGGGCUCAACCUGGGAAUUGCAUUUGUGACUGCACGGCUAGAGUGUGUCAGAGGGGGGUAGAAUUCCACGUGUAGCAGUGAAAUGCGUAGAGAUGUGGAGGAAUACCGAUGGCGAAGGCAGCCCCCUGGGAUAACACUGACGCUCAUGCACGAAAGCGUAGGGGAGCAAACAGG